rnacentral:tRNA from 1 species
GCGCAGGUGGCGAAAUUGGCAGACGCACUACCUUGAGGUGGUAGCGCCUUCACCGGCAUGGAGGUUCAAGUCCUCUCCUGCGCA